rnacentral:rRNA from 1 species
UACGUAGGGUGCGAGCGUUAAUCGGAAUUACUGGGCGUAAAGCGUACGCAGGCGGCUUGGUAAGACAGGUGUGAAAUCCCCGGGCUUAACCUGGGAACUGCAUUUGUGACUGCCUGGCUAGAGUCCGUUAGAGGGGGGUGGAAUUCCACGUGUAGCAGUGAAAUGCGUAGAGAUGUGGAGGAACACCGAUGGCGAAGGCAGCCCCCUGGGAUGAGACUGACGCUCAUGUACGAAAGCGUGGGGAGCAAACAGG